UAGGGAAUUCUUCCACAAUGGGCGAAAGCCUGAUGGAGCAACGCCGCGUGUGUGAUGAAGGGUUUCGGCUCGUAAAACACUGUUGUAAGAGAAGAAUGACAUUGAGAGUAACUGUUCAAUGUGUGACGGUAUCUUACCAGAAAGGAACGGCUAAAUACGUGCAG
rnacentral:rRNA from 1 species